CUGCAAACACAAACCAAGCACCCGAUCUCACAACUAGUUUGUGUGUUUUUAUCUUUUUUUUUGAAAUCAUAUACAUUUUUGCAUUUUUUGUUUUUCCCAAGGAUUUAAUAAAAAAAUCAAAUUUGUUUUUUGCAUUUGAUUCUGACAGCGCAGCUCAUUUUCAAAAAAGGGGAGCAUAUUAAAGGAGAGAAGAGUUACUUGUCCAGAUUCUCGGGCACAGCAGCUGCGUCGGUGGUGCUACCCGACAAAAAGGGGGCAGGGGCAGCGCGGACGUUUUCUCCAUCGUCCUCCAGCGCCACCCCGGUCAGUGAGAUGGGGACUUGCACAUACAUGUUGUGCAAAUGCACUUGAAGAUGGUUGGGAUGCCAGAUUCAUCACAGUUUGUUGAUGCUGCACAUGUUGGACACCAAGAUUAACUGGUCCUGGUCCACAGCUGUUUGGAGUUCUUUGUGCCAUAGUUCCGUCCAGCACCUACAAAAUGAAGAGAAAACAUUGUUGCUGAGGAAUCUUCCAUACUGCUACAGGAUUGCUGUUACAAACAUGAGAAGAGAGAAAAGAAAAUCAGAUCUAGAACAAAUCACAGAAGAGAAGACGGGGGGAAAGGUGGGAGGGGGUGAAAAUCAGAGAAGAGAUCAGACGCCCUUACACUAGUGAGUUUCUCCAUGCUUGUGGGCAUGGGGUUUUGCCUGGGUUCAGUCAAAAAGUACAGUUCAUAAAGCAGAGCAGCAAAUAAGUUUUUUUAUCUUUUUCCUAUGUCGUCCAGGCCCACAAGCAAACAAUGUCAUGGCCCAGCCCAACAAACAAACAAACAAAAAAAGAGAAACCAGCCCAGGUGUUAAGC